GACGAACGCUGGCGGCGUGCUUAACACAUGCAAGUCGAACGGAAAGGCCCUGCUUUUGCGGGGUGCUCGAGUGGCGAACGGGUGUGUAACACGUGAGUAUCCCGCCCUUGACUUUGGGAUAACUUCAGGAAACUGGGGCUAAUACCGGAUAGGAGCUCCUGCUGCAUGGUGGUGGUUGGAAAGUUUCGGCGGUUGGGGAUGGACUCGCGGCUUAUCAGCUUGUUGGUGGGGUAGUGGCUUACCAAGGCUUUGACGGGUAGCCGGCCUGAGAGGGUGACCGGCCACAUUGGGACUGAGAUACGGACCAGACUCCUACGGGAGGCAGCAGUGGGGAAUAUUGCACAAUGGGCGGAAGCCUGAUGCAGCAACGCCGCGUGCGGGAUGACGGCCUUCGGGUUGUAAACCGCUUUCGCCUGUGACGAAGCGUGAGUGACGGUAAUGGGUAAAGAAGCACCGGCUAACUACGUG
rnacentral:rRNA from 1 species